CUCUUUGUAGAGGGGCUGCCAACUUCUUGCAGUAAACAGCUGAUUGUGUGCCCGCGUAAAGUGACUUGUUUAUAAAGUACAUUUAAGCUAAAUUCGAGUGUGGUUCAUGAAAAAGUACAAUUAUCUUGAAGACUAUAUUUCCUCUGCACUUGCUAAUAUCUUUGUGUCAACGUUUACUUGGAUAUCCGAUACAAAAACUUUGGCUUGACAAAAUUUGUGUUGAAGUUCGUUGUCUCUAAAUCAGUGCCGCACUUUUAAGGAGCUAAAGCGUAAAACGACGGACAAAUUGAUUAUAAUUGAAUAUGAUUGACGUCCGUUUUGGUGGCCCGAUAUCUUUUGGGAGCGAUAAUCUCUCGCAGGG